rnacentral:rRNA from 1 species
UACAGAGGUCCCGAGCGUUGUUCGGAUUCAUUGGGCGUAAAGGGUGCGCAGGCGGCCAAGUGUGUGAGGCGUGAAAGCCCGGGGCUUAACCCCGGAAUUGCACCUCAAACUACAUGGCUAGAGCAUUGGAGAGGGAAGCGGAAUUCACGGUGUAGCAGUGAAAUGCGUAGAUAUCGUGAGGAACACCAGAGGCGAAGGCGGCUUCCUGGACAAUUGCUGACGCUCAGGCACGAAAGCGUGGGGAGCAAAAGGG